rnacentral:lncRNA from 1 species
AAAAUCCGGAUUAAUUCAAUAUCCGGACAGCAUUGAUUCGGAUAAAUUGAAAAUUCGGUUUUUUCAUCCGGAUGAAUUCAUCCGCUCGAUGUCUCGCCCGUUCGGCAAAUUAUGUCAUGUUUCGGGCUUGAUGCUCGACCGUCUGAUAAACGUUUUUUAUAGCUGUUUUUCGAAUAUAAGGUAUGCAUUAUGCAACCCAUUAGACAUUUCGUUUUUACGUAUUUCUACAUGAUGUUAAAACUAAAAUAGCUAAUUAUAUAUGUAAUAAAUCAAGUGUAUUUUAAACGAUGCAAAAUAUCACUACAAAAAUGCUUUGUUUACAAAAAAGUUUGGGCGUUCUCAUAUUGUCUCUUAUGUUUCUAAAUGAGUACAAUAAGGAUAGAUAAAGCAAUAGGCGACACAAGGCGACGCGACGAUAUUGCCGAUUGCCGGGUUAUUUGUCCGGACGAUUUAAUUCGGAUUUUUUUAGCCGGUGGAACGUGGAACUUCGUGUCACUUUGUGCAAGCUUUUAUUUCAUUGUCGGUCGAAUGAACGGGCGGCGUGUGUCCGGACGAUUUAGAUAUCCGGAUUGAUUCGGAAUAAUUUGAUAUUCGGAUUGAACGGACGAUUAAUCCGGACUCUUCGCAUCACUACCCACAAGCAUAAACGCCACCGGUAAUGUGAGUCUGGGAGUUCCCUCAGUUCCCAAAAUCCAAACAAAUGUUGGAAGAUAUUUUUGAGUCUCCACAUCUUUCUUACUUUUCUAUAUGAAAAUAAAAUUGGAGUACACCAACAAAGGUUAUGUGUUUUGCACCAGAUUGAAAGCAUCUUAGCGAAAAACGGACCUGUCAUAUCUUUAAAUUUACAAAAGAGCCCCUGGAAAAAAAAAAUAAAUAUCUGCUAAAGAAUACUAAGGCAAAUGGAUAAAAAACUUUCAGUCCAUGCAUUGGUAUGUAAUUGUUGACAAAAAUACAAUGAAUGGCCUCACUACUUUUCCACAUGCAAAGAGGUUAACCAAGGAGAAAUUAAAGAAAUUGUCAAAAACCUAGGUACAUACAGAAUUGCUUAGUACAAACUUAUCUAUACCCAGUACAAGUUUGUCCACUUCUUUGAAGCAUGGUACUUCAAACAGAGAAACUGUCAACAAUUUGGUAGAAGGUGAGCCCGUUUCAAAUUCCAGUAAGAGAUAUGAUUUCAAUUUUACACCAACAGCAGAGCCGAAAUUCAUUUUGCUUAUUAAGUUUUGCAAAUUAAGUUUUUCAUAUGAGCAUUUAAAAAAUAGUCAUAACAAAGUUCAGUUGUAUACAGGUUUGACAUGUAAUAAAUAUUUUGUAACCUUAAUAAGUGAAUUAGUUUUAUACAUUAUUUAAAUAAUAAUUGUAUAGUUCACAUAGAAUAGGCAGAAAUUAUAUGUACCUAUAUAAAAAAAUUUUAUUAAGAUAAGGAAAACAUGUAUUAAAGCAUAACACAUAAUAUAGACACACAUGUAAUAUCUUUAUUAAAAAUUAUAAUUCUAUGUUAUGUAACAUUAGAGCCUAAAAACAUUAAGGAGAAUGA